GCGGGCGUAGUUUAGUGGCAAAACGAGAACCUUCCAAGUUUUAGUCGCGAGUUCGAUUCUCGCCGCCCGCA
rnacentral:tRNA from 1 species